rnacentral:misc_RNA from 1 species
UCUCCGUUGGUGGACCAGCGGAGGGAUCAUUACUGGAAUCGCAAGAUCCCACAACCCUGUGAACCUACCGAAACGUUGCCUCGGCGGGUGCCCGGCCCCCGCGCCGGGCGCUGCGCCCGCCGGCGGCCCCCUACUCUGUCUCUGCAGCGUGGCAUCUCAGAGUCCCAGAAAACAAGUCAAAACUUUCAACAACGGAUCUCUUGGCUCUA